ACGCUCGACACCUACGGGAGCAGCAGUGGGGAAUAUUGGGCAAUGGGCGCAAGCCUGACCCAGCAAUGCCGCGUGAAGGAAGAAGGCUUUCGGGUUGUAAACUUCUUUUGUCAGGGAACAGUAGAAGAGGGUACCUGACGAAUAAGCCACGGCUAACUACGUGCCUGCAGCCGCGGUAAUCUGAGCGGGCUGGCAAGGC
rnacentral:rRNA from 1 species